GAUAGAUAGAUAGAUAGAUAGAUAGAUAGAUAGAUAGAUAGAUAGAUAGAUAGAUAGAUAGAUAGAUAGAUAGAUAGAUAGAUAGAUAGAUAGAUAGAUAGAUCACUGCUCUAAAAAAAAAAAAAGAAAAAAAGACUGGAUGGCUCAUUGGCCAACGAAACUGAAGUCGCCAUCCGCCAUCUUGAUACUCCCAAAACAAGCAUGCCGACCUGUGCAGCAACAGUUUCGCGGCUGUGAGAAAACAUUCCACAGGUUCCGACAGGUUAUGAAGGAGAAUCACGACAGGUCACAGCGCACGAUGCGUUCAAAGAAGAAGAAGAAGAAGAAGAAGAAGAAGCAGGACGUUGAGGAGACGACGGAAGGAGCGCCUCAGUUCCGUCCUCAUGAAAAUGCAAAGUGUGAGCAGCGACUGCGUGCAGCUGAAAAGAAAGAAAAGGAGAAGAUGAG